CGCCUGGCCUUGGUGGCCCCGGGACCAUCACGGCCAUGUCGGAGGCUAACCCAGAAAGCCCUGGUUGGCUUAAACGCGUGGCUGACGCAUCCUGGCAGACUGGAGAUCAAGCCCACGCUGUGGGAGCCACCAAAGGAGUCUAAUGAGAGUGAUAGUCCAAAGUGGCUGCUUACGGGAGGGUUUGAGGGUGGCCUAGAGUUUCCCGAGUUAAGGUGCCGCAGGACGUUUGAGCCACUCGGGUAGAGUGUCCCGCCAGUCUCUGUACAGCUCGGCCCAGGGUGUGUUUACGCACUAAGAGGGCUCGGGUGCCACCAAGUGGCCAUCCUGGGGACAUCACUGCCCGUCCCCAUGGAGCCACCAGUAUCUUUUCCUUCUGUGGGAGCAAGUCUCUGCAUUUGAGUUCAAUCUUCCCGAUUUCGAAGUGAGGAAACCCACGAGAUGUCUCGCUUAGCAGUGAGCUGACACUUUCCCCUUGGGUUUGAAACUACUCAUUCUGUGCGCGCCUCAGCUCCAGUCCUGCCGAUGCUUCUGGUAAGUCACUGAUUUCCUUCUUGCGUUAGGGUAACAGAGAGGGCGAGGCAUCCCUCUGCGGUGACACCAGAUCGUGAAACCCUGGAGGCCGAUCCGUCAUCAGUGUGGCUGGUGACUCCACCCGUGAGGUCCCGGAGCCACAUGCCCCCUGAGGCCCCGGAAGACACAGCCCUGAGCUGCUCCUGAGCUUGGCGCUUAAGGCGGGGAACAGACUUCAACUUUUUAAAAGAUAGGGACGGGCCACGGAAAGGACCACAACAGGGCUGUCUAUGGGAGUGUGGGUCGUGGGGACUGGUGUUCUGUGAUGUGGAAAACCUUAAAUUUCCUCACUGCGUCCAGCCCCUGGACAAGUCCCUGGGACAGGCAGAGUCACCGCCCUCUGGGAGCCCAGCUGCCUCGAUGAUGACACUUCGCUAAGGGCAAAAGGCGACCUUAGCUUGACCUCAUCCCGACCUCCGGGAUCCUAGCUUCCUGCGCUCUGAUGAGUAAGAGAGUUGGGAGCAGGUGUCCUUGCCACGUUCCUGAGUAUUCACCAUCCAUUCAUCAUUGAUGAGAGUCUUCAUCAUUGCCCGCUCUGUUAUAGGAGAAUCCAGCAAUUUCCCACCCAUCUGUGUCUACACCCUGGAACGACUGCGUGAUCCAGGAACCAUCUG